UUGGGUUAAGUCCCGCAACGAGCGCAACCCUCGCCUCUAGUUGCCAGCACGAUUGGGUGGGCACUCUAGUGGAACUGCCGGUGACAAGCCGGAGGAAGGUGGGGAUGACGUCAAGUCCUCAUGGCCCUUAUGGGCUGGGCUACACACGUGCUACAAUGGCGGUGACAGUGGGAAGCCAGGUGGUGACACCGAGCCGAUCCCUAAAAGCCGUCUCAGUUCGGAUUGCACUCUGCAACUCGGGUGCAUGAAGGUGGAAUCGCUAGUAAUCGUGGAUCAGCACGCCACGGUGAAUACGUUCCCGGGCCUUGUACACACCG
rnacentral:rRNA from 1 species